AAGCCUUGUCGCCGGUCGCCUCCACUGCCCACCAGCCUUCGUGAUUAUGACUUGUUAGUCCUUUUAUUUUUUAAUUUUUUUUGUUUUUCUUCUUUCAAAGUUUAGUUAAUUUUUUAUUUAUCAUUUGUGAUUUAUAUUUUAUAAAUUUAUGUUUAUGAGUUAUGGAUGUGUUUAUGAGCCUAUAGUGUACUGUUGACUUUGAGGAUUUUGUGAAUUCGAGAAUUUGAGAAUAUUGAGGAUUUUGUUGUUAAAUCUGAGGUUUAUGAUUUAUGAAAAAUGGGAAAUUUGUGAUUUUGAGAAUACUUCAUAUAUGUGGAUUGUGAAUUUGAUUAGUAAAAUGAUAAAUUAGAAUUUAAACUUGAUAGUCUGAUAGUUUAAUAUGUGAUAAACUUCUUGUAUAUGAUUUCUACAUUUUAGUGCAUUCACAUAUAGAUUAGAAAGUUUUUAAUAUUAUUAAAUUAAGUAUUAAUAAAUGACCUUGUUAUUACGGUCAUUAACUGUCGACGAUCAAUUGUCAACCUUCAACGACUGCCCUAGAUGACGUCGAAUCUUGGAUCUGCCACAUCUCCACCACAUCAUCGGAUUUCAGGGAGCUGGUGUGGUGUUUUCCAAAAAUGAGGAAGAUGAGUAGCAAAGUGAGUUGGGUUUCCGCCGUUGAUGGCGGCGAUGAGAGAAUGACUGAGUAGUAGUAAAAAAUUUAUAUGGGUUUUGGUUUAAGAGGCAAUUAUACGGAUUUAAGGGAGAUUUAUGGGAAAUUCUUGAAGAAGAAGGCAAUAGUUGAUGCAAAGCCAUUUUCCUAAUAUCUAUAGAAGCAAACAGUGAAUAAACAACCAAGAUAGAGCUUUUAGAAAGGGAAAAUGGAAACUGAAGAAACUGAUAAACAGAAGAAUUAUUCAUUGGCAUGUGGUACUCGAAAUUUGUUGUGAUAGUGAGCAACUAAGAGUGGAAAAGUCUUAAUCUGCAUUUGUACGUUUGAUAACUAAUGUAAUUUUCUGGACUAUGAAAAUGGUGUGGAUAAUGGAGAAAAAUGGGGUUGAAGGAGUUGAGAUUUUUGUGUUUUGGGUACGAAAGGUAUACACGUGGAAAUGUGUUUAUCUAUUCUUUGGGUGUUUGUUUGGAAAUAAACUUAGAUUCAUUUGCAGUUAUUUGAGUUACUCAAAUUUUCUUCCUCCAUUUUUUUUCCCCCAAGGUACUUUAGUUUUUCUUUGAGUUUCCUCCUCUUUCAUUGGACCCAAGUGAAUGAGGCAAUUCAAAUCGAUGGUUGAGUCUUGUUCGAUAUUAAACAAAGGUUCACUCAGGUUCGAUAUUGAAAAACAAAAUGGGGAGAGAGAGGAAACUAUUUUAUUAGGAGGCUUGUGGUGUACAUAAAAACUUAACACAGUGGACAAGGGACAUAUUUUUGUAGUUUUAUUUAUAUAUCUUUUAGUGCAUACAAAAAUUCAAAAUCGUGGUGGAACAAAAAUACAAAUAGUCACCAUUUUCUUUUUUUUUUUCUUUUGUUUUUUUUGGUGUAUUGUAUAUUUAGUUACGAAAAAAGGUAUAUGAUAUCUCUAUCUCCUCUUACACAUAUUUAAUGGUAUAUAUAUGUGUGUGUGUAAAUAUGUACAUAUAUAUCAAUUUACAAAUGUAUAACUCCUCAAGAAUUUCAAUUGCGCUCAUAUUUCAUCAAUGUAGGAAUUGGGUUCAAGCUUCCCCAGUCUCUUCUCAUCAAUGGACUCCUGACGUAUACGAAGGAGUGCGGUUCAUUUGAGAAAUUCCUAUCUUUCUCUAUAUAUAUUUUCAAUUUAAUGGAGUGAACAGUAGGAACCGGAUUGUGAACCGUAGGAUCUGGAUAAGUGUGAAAACAAGGUCCAGAAGAAUUAACAGUAUGGAUUCCCUUGUUUAGAAAAGUAGAGAUAGAUAUAUGUUUGCUCAAACUCCAAAAUCCCCGAUUAGACCCCAGGUGGAUCUACCCUUGAGUGUAAACGGUGACUUACCCCACUAGACCUCAGGUGGUUGCACCGCUGUUGACAAAUACAUGCAUUCUUUGAAAUGUAGAAAACCAUGCAUUUUUAAUAUGUAAAAUUUAAUUUUUUAAUAAGGAUAGUUAAGCAAAGCAAGCUUUAUUUAUUUUUUAAUUAGAAUGGUUAAGUAGUAAUAUUUUUGUCUAUUUGAUUUGUUUUGCCUUUAGUAUAUUGGAGGGAGAUAUUGCAAUUUGUGGAAACGUAGUGAAGGGCAAGGUCAUGACAGAAGUAAGGCAGGCAAUGGAAGUUAAAGAGGGGCCGAGGAAGAGGAAAGUAGGAAACAAGAAAGCUAAAAAUGCAAAGAGAAAACAAAAAAUGAUGCCUCAAGGUGUUCAAAAGAAGGUGAAUAUUGACAAAAGAAUGAAAAAAUUGUUUCAGAAAAGAGCGAGGGAGUACAACUCAGAUGAUGAUGAUGUGGAGGACGAGGAGAAGCUUGAGCAGUCUGUACCUUCGACUCGAGAUAAGUUUAAGAAAGA
rnacentral:lncRNA from 1 species